rnacentral:rRNA from 1 species
AGAAACUAACUAGGAUUCCCUUAGUACGGGCGACGGAAGCGGGAAAAGCCCAAACUGGUAAUCGACAGCCUGCGGCUGGCCGAAUUGUAAUCUGCAGAUCGCAAGCCUAACGGGACGCGGCGCAUAAGUGUCAUCGAACGGACCGCCAUAGAGGGUGAUAGCCCCGUAUGUGGUGCCGCGUCUUACCGGGCUGCCAUCUAAGAGUCGUGUACCUUGAUACUGGUGCACUAAGCGGGAGAUAAACUUCUUCUAAGGCUAAAUAUAUGUAGGAAACCGAUAGCGAACAAGUACUGUGAAGGAAAGAUGAAAAGCACUUUGAAAAGAGAGUUAAAAGACUUGAAAUCGUUGAGGCGGAAGCGGUAGAAAUGAAUUCUACGGUGGUUCUCUGCGUACGCUGCCUAAGGGCCGUAGUCCCGGAAGCGGCGGAGUUGAGGACCCUUGUGAGGCAAGAUGGAGUCAACCGAUGUCAGAGGCGGCGCAGAACUCGGUGUUACAUCACUCUGUGUUGGCCGGAUUGUCGGUUGGCUUGAGGGGCUUUGUGCGAUCUUGUCAAAAUGGUUUUUACCGACCCGUCUUGAAACACGGACCAAGGAGUCUAAGACUAACGCGAGUAUGGUGGUGGAAAAACCAACAUGCGCAAUGAAAGUGAUUGAUGCCAAAGCAACCGCAGCAUCGACCGAGCAUGAUCCACUGGAGAAAGGUUUGAGUAAGAGCGUUAUUCUUACGACCCCAAAGAAGGUGAACUAUGCCUGUGUAGGUGAAGUCAGGGGACAGACUGAUGGAGCUCGUAGCGAUAUUGACCUGCACAUCUCUUCUUCUAUAUGGGUAGCCUAACC